rnacentral:rRNA from 1 species
AACGAACGCUGGCGGCAUGCCUAACACAUGCAAGUCGAACGAGACCUUCGGGUCUAGUGGCGCACGGGUGCGUAACGCGUGGGAACCUGCCCUUAGGUUCGGAAUAACUCCCCGAAAGGGGUGCUAAUACCGGAUAAUGUCUUCGGACCAAAGAUUUAUCGCCUUUGGAUGGGCCCGCGUUGGAUUAGCUAGUUGGUAGGGUAAAAGCCUACCAAGGCGACGAUCCAUAGCUGGUCUGAGAGGAUGAUCAGCCACACUGGGACUGAGACACGGCCCAGACUCCGACGGGAGGGAGCAGUGGGGAAUAUUGGACAAUGGGCGAAAGUGUGAUCCAGCAAUGCCGCGGGAGUGAUGAAGGCCUUAGGGUUGUAAAGCUCUUUUACCCGGGAUGAUAAUGACAGUACCGGGAGAAUAAGCUCCGGCUAACUACGUG